rnacentral:misc_RNA from 1 species
CCGAGUUUACAACUCCCAAACCCCUGUGAACAUACCUAUAUGUUGCCUCGGCGGAUCAGCCCGCGCCCCGUAAAACGGGACGGCCCGCCGCAGGAUCCACAAACUCUGUUUUUAUAGUAAUCUUCUGAGUGUUAAAAAAAAUGAAUCA